CAUCAUUGAGAAGGGGGAAGAAAACUGUGGGCCCCUGAUCGAAGCUCACAAAGAGUGUAUGAGAGCUCUGGGCUUCAAGAUAUAAGUGAGAUGAGCAGGACUGUGAAUGUGAUGAUGUCUGUGGUGUGACUGUGCUCUGGAAAGCUGCAAAAUACAUUAUUUCUGCAAGUUACUUCAAAGAACAAAUAUAAACAAAGAAUCUAUUUAUGAAGAGUCUCUAAUGAUAGAUUGUGCAUCGCGUCUGUGGCUUUUCCACUGUUAGUUCUUGACCGCUGCUAUAGAAAAUAUAUUUUUUCCUCUAAAUAAAAGUCUGAAAAUGACCGGU